AAGUCACUUCCCCCGCCGGCUCCGACAGCGGGUUGGUCCGCUGAGGGGCGUUGGGUGAGGCGGAAGAGCAGACGGGGAUCCGGAAGGCGUUGUCGGUGACAUCACGGAGAGGGCGAUUUCUAUGUAGAUGAGGCAGCGCAGGGGCUGCUGCUUCGCCACCUGCUGCUUCGCCACGAAAGAGUUCCCGUGCCGUGGGAGCAAGUCUGGGACCUCUGGUCGGAACGGAGAGUCGCAGCUGUGUGUUAGGGCUAGGAUGGCUCCGGGAUGCGCGUGAGGCAAGUGACCUUGCGUGUAAAGGGGCCCGCCUGGCAGGACGACUGAGCAAGUCCUUGGAAAACCAGAGAUAUUAGAGCGGUGAAUCGCGCUGGUCACGUUGGACACCUGCGCGUUAGGAGAUUCUGGAGCCAGAGGGAGAGACCCCAGAAACUCCCCGGUCGGCGACCCAGCCCGAGACGCCUGGGGUCCCAAGGGAAGCUGAACGCCCGGUGGGCUCCCGGGAUGGUUCUUCCGGUUCUUUGUGCCGCCUUCACCCAGUGAAGGAGCCUGUAUCCACCCUGCCCAGUCGCUGUUGGGCUGCUGCGGAGCUUCCGCUGCCAUCUUCGGAUCCUGUGUUCCGCCCGGGGCUCCACCAGGGCAGGGAUGGUGGUGAGGGUCGCUCGUGGGUCCCCUGGCAGGGAGCAGGGUCUGGCACUCACAAGGGCGCACGACUAGGACUUGUCGAAUGAAUCCUUUGUCGCCUUUAGCUUUUAGUCCUUUGAAGAGAGAAUGGGGAAAUGGAGAGAGAACCUGAAAGAGCCCCAAACUCGAGGACCUAUUGCUCCCCAAGAAUAACAUCUUCCAGAACUAGACAGAAAACUAGGCGUCUGGGAACCCUGAAAUCCUUGGAGGAGUAGAUCAUCAUGACCCUCUGUGUUCCUUUUGGCAAAUGACUUGCUUCCAUUGUUUGUUUGUUCAAUUGUCUGUUUGUUAAAUAAAUAAAACCCUUUUCAUGUAUCUUUAAAAUUA
rnacentral:lncRNA from 1 species